rnacentral:tRNA from 2 species
GGCCUCAUCGUCUAGUGGUUAGGACGCCAGGUUUUCAUCCUGGUAACAGGGGUUCGAUUCCCCUUGAGGCUACCA